ACCCUCCCAGAGUCCCAGUUGACGAUCCUUCGCUGCUCUUUCACGAAAAAAACAAAUCCUUCGCUGCUCAUUGAGAGACAAAGUAGACAAUAACAAAGGAAGGAAAUGGCGGAAACUCUCAAGCUCCCAGUUAUCGACUUAUCCUCAACGGAUCGCAUAUCGACUGCUAAAUCAAUCCGCAGAGCAUGCGUGGACUUUGGCUUCUUUUACCUUGUAAAUCAUGGGGUUGAAGAGGAGUUGUUUAAGAGAGUGUUUGAAGAGAGUAAAAAGUUAUUCUCACUUCCCCUGGAAGAGAAGAUGAAACUGGCGCGAAAGGAGCAAAGAGGUUACACCCCCUUUUAUGCUGAGAAACUGGAUACUUCCUUGAAUUCCAGAGGUGACCUAAAGGAGUCUUUCUACAUUGGUCCUGUAGAAGGCACUAUGACUCUAACUAAUCUGAAUCAAUGGCCUUCAGAAGAAGCUCUGCCAUCUUGGAAACUCACAAUGGAAUCUUACCAUCAGACAGUCCUGACUGCUGGGAAAAGCUUGAUAUCUUUGAUUGCUUUGGCUUUAAACUUGGAAGAGAACUUCUUUGAGAAAUUAGGGGCAUUGGAUGCACCAAUGCCAUUUGCUCGUCUGUUACACUAUCCAGGUGAAGUAUUUGACUCCAAUGAGGAAACAUAUGGUGCUUCUGCUCAUUCAGAUUAUGGAAUGAUUACUCUUCUUGCAACUGAUGGGGUUCGUGGACUUCAGAUAUGUAGAGAGAAAGAUAGGCAGCCACAAGUCUGGGAGGAUGUGCAGUAUGUCAAAGGGGCUUUCAUUGUUAACAUCGGAGAUAUGAUGGAGAGGUGGACUAACUGUUUGUUCCGUUCGACAUUGCACAGAGUCAUGCCAGCUGGACAAGAACGCUAUUCUGCAUUUUAUGGAGAAUGUUGGUUCCACUCACUCCCUUAUGAGUUGAAUAUGCAUGGUCUUCAACAAUGUUUUACUAUCUUCCAUUCAUUUGGGUUUAUACAUGCAUGUGGCCUAUUUCUUAGAUCCAAACUAUGAUUGCAUGGUAGAAUGCUUGGAAAGUUGCUGCAGUGAGGAAUCCCCACCUAGGUUUCCUCCCAUACGAAGCGGGGACUACCUGCAAGAGCGUUUUAGGGUCACAUACUCUUCGCAGUAAGUAUGAUAUCGAAGUAGUGAAAACUACUACGUGCAACAGGCAAGCAAAUGAAUUCACAUCGAGUCCAAACCGCAUUACAUUCAUGUCCAUUAGAUGUUUCUAAUGGAUUCAUGCUUUCCAUCCAACUUUAUGUAAAUGCUCAGAACCAUGUUAGACUAACUGAAGUUGGAUAUUCUUAGGCUUCUCAUGCUUUAAGCCAUACCAUCGUUAUACUUUUGUUGCAAAGUACAGUUCAGUUUCAGCAUUUGUAAGUUGUAUGCUCAAUGUCUGUAAAACUCGUUUCUGUCAAAGGGGGUUGGAGUUGAGUGAAGAACUUGAAUUGCUCA